GUGAGGGGAGGAUUCAUGACUGGGGUGGAGCAUGGGAUUGACAACCAAGGGUGAGACAGGAUUGGGAGACAGGAGAAAGGUGGGUGUAACUUAUGGGUAUCCAGGGGAAGGGACCAAUGGGAGCUCACUCCGCACUGCGGCAACUCUCAUCCAAUCAGAGGGAGAUGAGUGGGAAAGCAGGGGAGAACAAGGGAGUAAACAACUUUUGGCGGGAAAAUCUGAGGGACCAAGGGGAAUAACAUUGGGGUACAUGAAACUUGAUAUAAAACCCAUGAUGAACUGGGGAGUAACAGGUCAGUCCAAUAGAAUAAUAGUCCAUUCAGGCUCCAUAAAUAUCUCUCCAAGCCUGGAAUCGUUCCCAGUCUGAUUUUCUGUCCUCCUCACCUACGAAUAUAUUAGCUGGGAAACUACAUGUAAACUUCAAGCAUAUUUGUUGGGAAACUAUCUUUUGACUACUAAAAUAUUUGUUGGGGGUAAAGUUGCUAUACUACAUCUUAACUGCUUUGAAAUUAAUUACUAAUGAUAUGUAGUCUGCCUCUCUAUAGGCUUUCUAAACUAAGUCAGGGCCUAGGUGAAGGUUCUCAGGGCCCCAGCAGCAGGGAAUGGGCCCCCAGGGGCUCCCGUCCCAAAGCAGGCAGAAGGCCCCAAUCCCUUGUUAAAUGGAACAGUGGGGGACAUGGCCCUUGGUUGCUUUGCUCCUUGAGAUCCCCUGGUGUAGGACGGGAUCAAUUUCCUUGGUGCUGACCUCUGGGCUUGUGGGGUUGCUCCUGGAGCCUUUGGGACACUGCUGGGUGCUUGGUGGUGAAUAUCCUGGUGGUGGGAUGGAACAUCUCUGUGACGGGAUCUCUGUUCUUGUUGGGCACUGUGAGGGGACCUUUGUUACAAAGAGACACCUCCCGGGAGUGAGGAGCAGACGUGGGUGGUGAUUUCCAAGAAGGACACUGUAGCCACACCAAGUCCAGGCUCCUUUAGAUCAAGAAUGAAGCAGAGGGGUGGUUCUGGCCCAGAAUUUGAGCUGUUUUAAAUUUAUAAUACCUAUGUGUUAUGUAGUGAUGGGUGAUCUCCAAUUGUGCCUGAAUGCCAUAGGGAAAUGUAAGAAUCCAAAGUAAAACUGCAUGGUGGGUGCCCCUGGUUGUGUGGGACACCCUGUGUGCAGCAGUAAAGAACAAUCUGCCCUCAGAAGGGACCUGCUGCAGCCUGGGUUUUGAAAGGCUUUGCAACAGCAAAUAGGGUUCGAGUGAAGUAAAACAUUGAGUCAGCUUCUCUCUGUGCUAUCAUGCUUUAUUCUAGCCAGGGGAAGACUUAUAUAGGGUAGGGUGAGGAAGGGUCUGGAAAACAGGGAGGAGCAUGGGACUGACAGGGGUGAUGACCAAUCAAGAAAGGAGGGAGGGAACACAGGAUCAGCAGGGACCAAUGAGGGAAACAUCUGCAAUGCAGCAAAUGGGAGCCAAUAUGAAAAAUGGAGGGUACUAUGAGGGGUAAAUACACUAAAACUUGAAAAAUUCAGAAUAAAACUGUCCUGAAUAGAUUCACUGGUAACACUAAAACAGUCUUUUCCAUUAUCAGCUGCUCCUCAGUACCGGUGUCACAACCUAUUGCUUUCAGGCAGGUGCUUGAUCGCCUCUGUUUCUCUCUGCGCCUGCUGCAGCUCCUCUUGCCAUCUUUGUAACAGUUCCUCCUCACAGCGUGUGCCCUUCUCAGAGACCUCCUGGGACAAUGACCCACCUGGUUUUUCAUUCCUGAGCAGUUUUGGCACAGAGUGUGGCCAACUUCUCCUGAGCGACACCUCCAUGCGAGGUGACCCACUGUCCUCAUUCUCGUUGGGUUCCCCUUGCAGAGCCCCUGGGGAGGUGGGAGAGUCCCAGAGGAGAGGUGCUGUCUGUGUUGCUGUGCCCCCUGUCAUUUUAGUCCCAGUGUUCAGGCAGGUGCAGAGAGGAUGGGAGAUCCUCCCUGCCAUGGGUGCUGUCUGCCCGUGGGGGCUCCUUAGACCCCAGAUCAGUUAUUUUUGGGUCAGAACCACCUGGUGGGGUAUGUGUGUGUGUGAGGGGGAAGGUGGCGUGAGAAGGGCAAGGCCUAGGUCUGCAGCCAAGAUGGCUGAGAUCCCAAGACAAGGAAGGGCUUGUGGCUGGGCUCUCAAUCAAUGACCCUCCUGGUGGCCCAACCACCCCACACUCCCUGAGUGAAAUCUCUUGAAGUCUAAAAUCAAGUGUAACAGCUGGUAAGAGCUUGGAGCUUCUAGACCAGGGUGUAACAGGGGCCUGUGCCAGGGCAGGCCAUGUGUGUCCCUGUCACUCCCUUUGGCACUCCUCCCACUGCUCCCCUCCUCCCGGAGCCCUGUCCCUGGGCACAGCAAUUCCCUCAGUGUGUGUCCAGGGAAGGUGGUUUUAUUCCUUCAGGCCUUUGCAUGGGAGAAACAACCAAAUUCUCAGGAGGUUCAGUAAUCAACUUCUACUUGCAAACUGAAGAACGUUAAGGUGGUAUGAGGUAUAUCCCUAUAUGAUAAAUAAAAUGCAAAUUUUAAAACAACAUCCAGACAAAGAAGGGCCCUUCACAAACUUUAAUUCAGGAAACUGGAACUUAUCCAGACACCACAAGGCAUUUGGUUUCUUUCUUUUGGUUUGUUGUUUUUGUUUUUUUUUUUUUAAAUGAAGGCUUAGAAUUCUAGUUAAUUUUGAUCCUGUCUCCUAGACUUUACUUUUCAUCAUUGUAUGACAAUCCUCAUUUUUCUCCUGGGAUGUUCAUUCACUGCAUUGAAUACUUUUUUCUUUUCAUUCAUUGAAGCAGCUUCUCUGUAUUUCCAAUGUCUUUUUCUUCUUCUUGUUUGUGUAUAUAGUAGUAUUUCUCUGCAUUGCAAGGUUUACACAAGUUUAUAGCAUUAUAGUGAGAAGGAAGGCACAAACAGUUGAACCCUGUGUCUACAAAAGCAGAAAUAUCAAAUGCAGUAAUUAGAAUCAUCUAAAUGGGGAAAGUAACAUCCAUCUUGUCACAGAAAUUCUCCAUUAACUUAUGAUUCUGGAUUUUUAAGGCACAUGUACGCAAUAGCACUAAAUGCACAUUUCCUAGGUUUUUCUUCUCUUUCCACUUGCUUUUGUGCAUAUUUGAGAAGGAUCUGAGAAUGUUUGAUUGAGGGAUGCAAUAAUACACUAGUAAUAAACUGAAUUAAUGAUGUGUAAGAGAUUUUGACACUUUAUCUCAUCUUUCUUGGUCUAGCAGGAGAUUCUCCUGAAACCUACAAGCAGUAGCAGUUUUCAUGCCCUCAGCUGAUUUAAAAGAAGUGUCCUCCUCUUGAACCAACUCUCCAGGGAGCAUGAAAAGUGAUUUAGUUCCCAAGAAAGCAGCAUGUCCCUUCUGGAAUGUAUCCUGAAAGCACACAGGCUGCCUUGCCCACCCUCUGCUGUCCAGAUCCUCUCUGCAGACAUGCCUGGCUGCACUUCUUUGCAGGGCAACAGGACUAAAGGCAGAGAGGGGAGGUCUCCAGUUCAGUGGCAGUGUUGCAUAUCAGGGAGCAGCUCACAUACCCCCUGGGCAGCAAGUUAAUGCCAAUUGAUUCAGCAGAUGGGAACAGCCUCUCAGUCCUAGCAAGAAUAAAAUUAUUUUCGUUUUUACAACAUACAUCUAUUCCCCACCUAUUUUCUGCCUUCCACCCCCCUUCGACCUCUUUCUACUUGACAAACCAGUGUGUUCUGAGCUUGUUUGGGUGGCUUUUGACAGCUAUUAUAUUUCUGAGCCCCCACACUUCUCAGGCUGCACCAUGAAGAUGAGGAGAUGAUGGGGGCUUUAUCAUCCUGUGUUCAGCUCUCCAGGCUAUCCCCUCUCACACUUAGGGAGGACAAAAUGACCCUGAAGAAGGUGUAAGUAAAUGUGUUUUGAGAUCUACUCCUUUCCAGUUGUGACUUUUCCAUUUUUUAUUUUUCUCCUAUUACAGAGAAUCCUCCUUUGGAUCAAAUACACAGAGUAUUUCCGUGAUCCUGCCACAGAGGCAGAUUUAAAUAGUUGAGUGAAGUUGACAUUUUAGUGUUAACAGGCAUAACUCCAGGGUGAGUUUACUCCUCCCAAAGUGUGUGAGGAAAACCUGUGUUCCUCCCCAUUCAAGUAGCUCCUCUGUUAAAUGUAGGUACAGUCAGGGUGUGCAGCCAAUGCAACGGAGAUUAUCAAAAUUGUAAUUGAGACAACAAUAUCACAGUGUUUUAUAAAUAACUGAUGAAAUUUUUGUAACAGUUUUUCAGGAUGUCCUGUACAGGAAAAUGAACUCCUGAGAAACUGAGUCUUUCUGUAGACAGAUUAUGCCAAUUAUAGAAUAUAAUCACAGAACUUUAAGGUUGGAAAAGACCUCUCAGAUCGUUGAGUCCAGCUGUUAAAUGUUAAGAGCUGUUAAAAAAGACACUUCUUCAGUGGCAGUUUGCUCCCACCCAGCAAUACUGCUCCUGUCAACCUUGUCCAAUAUAAUCUUGUAUAAAACUUGGAGUGAGUCAUAGGAAUUAGUGACAAAUAGGCAAAGGUCUUGCACAGAGCGGGGAGAAUUUUAUUAUCCAAAUAGUUUCCUGUAUUCACUCAACUUUUAUACCAUCUCUAGUGCUUCCAGUCCAGAUCUGAGUGUGGAGAGGAGGGAUGAUGGAAAGAUGCAUUCCCUGUUUGGAUGUUUCUUACAGGCCUGUUUUUAGUUCCUGAUAUUUCUCUGAAAUUCAUUGUUGAGUUUUUCUGCUUUUUCCAGUUAAUGGUCACAGUUAUUAAAUGAAAUGAGCAUGAUCCUUAGUUGAUAGAAAUCAGCACAGCCCACAAAAAAAUUAGUCACUCAAGAUUCCAAGGCCUGAGUUUUGCAGAAAUUCCAUCCAAUAAUCCUUGCAAUAAGCCAAAUAAUCACCAGAUUACAGAGGUCUGUGGCCUUACCAACACACUUUGCAUUGCAUUGUAUUAACCAGCCAGGUAAUUAGAGGGCUCAAGACCAACUUUCAAAUUUUGUAGUUUCUUCAAAGAGAAGAAAAGAAAGGAAUGAUUACCCACACAGUGGACCAUUUUGAUUGUGAAUCAUGGAGUUAUAUGUUGCUUCCCAUAGGAAGUUAGGCCACAGGAUAUACUAAUUUUCUAUGUAUUGCAGCCAUAAAUAAGGUAGUUUUCAGAAAAUGGAACAAGGAAUCCAAUCACUAGAAAUCCCUUCCUGGCAAUGGUCACUCAUUACAAGCCCAAACCUAUUCAUCAGCAGCCUUUCAUACCUUUUGCUCAUAUAGUUUGGAUGAUUCACCCUCCAGGAAAAGUGAUUGAUUUGCACUUAAGUGACCCAUUUCCUUCUGAAAGGUGUCAGAGAGCCCUUAUCAGUCAGACUCCUUGUCUUUGCUUCAGUAUAACUUGUCUUGGCUCCUUUCUCUGGGUUAGAUAGUGCAACUCCUCAGCUUUCACAUUGCCUGACUUGAGGAAAUGGAUUUAGAGCAAGUUGGCACAAUCUCUGUCUUAGUGGAAAAGCAAGUACCAACUCUUCAUGUUUUGUACUGAACUGAACACUGAUUGCAAUUUAGGAGACAACCCUAAUAGUCCUGAGGGCAAGCCAAGGGAGAACUCACUCCUACAGUCUCCUUGAGUAUCCUUAUACUGUGGUGAGAGGGAACAGCUCCAUCCCACCCUCUGGGCUGAUGUUACCUUCCCCACAAACCCCUCCACAUCCUCAAAUUUAAUGCAGACUAAGCUCUACUUUUGGUACUUAUACGGUCCCUCCUGCUGAGGGAUGGGUUCGUUGUUCUGAUGGAAAGAUUUAGUACUCUUAGAAAACAGUGCCAGUUGGAAUAUCCACUCUCUGUGUGUCCAGCAAGCCGCAUUUUCCAUUUCCUCAGUAAAAAUCCUCUUGGCUAUAGCAAGUGCUGCAGAAACCCACAGACUCAUGCAAAUGAGGAAUGACGCAGAUUGGGAUCCUGCAGGUUGAAGCUGCAGAUUUGAGGACGAGAAAUGAAAUUGGAUGCUUCAUAACAUGAGGUUCAUCUCCUCCAGGUGUCAGUCAGGUCACUGUAUCUCAGUUCAGUGAUGUUUCACAGCAGUAAUAGAUGUGAUCUGUGCAGGGAGGCUGUGCCAGCACCACUCGUCCCUUUAUCAGGCAACUGCUUUUCUUGGUGCAGGCUCAUGGAUUUCCAAUAGUUAUCUAUGAAAACAAUCUUGUUUUGGAAAAAACUUUUGGAGUAAUAGGUUUGAGGCUUUCUGGAUAUAACACUGAGCCAAUUCUCAGUUGCUGACAGAAAUAACUAAUUACAUUGUUUGCAUAUAUUUUUAAGUCAUGGCUUGUCACUUCCUGUUUCCUAUUUUAGAAAAAUCAAAAGUCCCUGAUUUAGGUCCAGAUUCUCAAACUUUUUCAUACUGAAUAAACACUGACUUAUACCAGUUAAGAAAAUAGCAUGAAGAUUUUCUUGGGUUUGGUGUGGUUAUUUUAUUCUUUUGGCUUCCUGAGUAAAAUAUAUUUUGUCAAAUAACAACCUGGGAGCUGUGCAGUCUCUGUUCUCUUGCACAUGAAUGUAAAAAACCUGGAAAAGGUCCAGUAUUUGAAGCUUAGUAUUCACUGGUGGAGCUGAUGACCCACAGAGACAAAACUGGAAUCCAGGGCAAUGACACUCAUAACCAAGAUAUUUUUUCAGCAUAGUCCAGUUUUUCCUGUGACAGUCACUCUUCUAGUUCUGCAGAAUACACGACACUCUUAAGAUCCAUGCCCGAGUUUUUUCACAAGCUGUGCAAGAUUCCCAAGAUGUUGGAGAUCAGAGACAGCUUGAGCAAGACACUAUAAACCCAGAUGGAUGUCAUGGGAGUAAGAAAGUCUCUCAAUCAUCAUUUACUGCUAGAGCUUUACAUUUACAGCUCUGGAGUAUCCGAGAAUUUUAUGUACACCUCCUCCUGGGCCUGUGCUCUAAGUCUACCUUAGCUUCCCAGAUGCAACCUCAUGACAUUACCAUUCCUCUGUUGUGCAAAGAUAUGAAGGCAGGCUGACAGAGUUGGGAUUGUUCAGCCUGGAGAAGAGAAAUGUUCCAGGGAGACUUUAUUGUGACAUUUCAGUAUUUAAAGUAUAUAAAAAAGUAGAGACAGAGACUUUUUAUACUGGCAAAUAGUGAUAGGACAGGGGAGAAUAAUUUUAAACUAACAGACAAGAAGUUUAGAUUGGAUGUUAGGAAGAAAAUGUUGGCUGUGAGGGUGGUGAGGCCCUGGCACAGGUUGCCCAGAGAAGCUGUGGCUGCCCCUGGAUCCCUGGAAGUGUCCAAGGCCAGGUUGGACAGGGCUUGGAGCAACCUGGGCUAGUGGAAGGUGUCCCUGCCCAUGGCAGGGAGGGUGUAACAAGAUGCUGGAAAAACCUUCAAGCUACAUCAGAGCAAGGAGGGGUUUAAAAAGAGUCUGAACCAGAUUCCUACCUGGUGACAGCUGCUGUGGAUAGAGCUCUGCUCAUUUUGCCCUGUCAAAGACUCUGCCUCACUUCCUUCCUUCACUUCAGUCAAAAUCAGCUCCAGGAAUGGGUUGCGAGGGAGUACGUGACAACGCUUCAGUGUUCUUGAGUGUUUUUUUAAAUACAGAAUCAUAGAAUGCUUUGGGUCAGAAAGAACUUUUCAAGAUCAUCUAGUCCGACCUUCCUGCCAUGGGCAGGGACAUCUUCAACUAGACUAGGUUGCUCAGAGCCCCAUCCAGCCUGACAUUGAGUGUUUCCAAGCAUGGGGCAGCCACCACCUCUCUGGGCGACCUGUGCCAGUGCCUCACCACCUCAUUGGAAAAAAUUUCUUCCUUAUAUCUUGUCUGAAUCUAACUCUUUUAGUUUAAAAUCCUUGUCCUGUCACAACAGACCCUGUGAAAAUUCUGUCCUUAUCUUUUCUAUAACCCCCUUUAGGCACUGGAAGGAACUUGAGUCUCCCUGGAGCCUUCUCUUCUCCAGGCUGAACAACCCCAACUCUCUCAGCCUGUCUCCAUGGCAGAGGUGCUCCAGCUCUCAUGGCAUCUUCAUGGCGUCCCCUGGACCUGAUCCAACAGGUCCAUGUCUUUCCCAUGCUGAAUACAAGCCUCAUCACUGGUGUCUAAUUGCAAACUGACCCAGUGCAGCCCCAGUUGCAGAUGCAAUCUGCCAAAAACGUCUCCCCAUGUGUACCUUCCCAGAGAGCUGCAGGGAGCCUUCUGCAUAUACUGUGAUUUUGGGGGGUGAAAAGCACUGGGGCAGCACAAGGCAUUAUUAUAUUCUGUAGAUGCAUUUUGCCAGGUUCUGACCUUUCAGAUUCCUGUUGAAUGUCUUUUCCUUGCAAGAAAAGAAAAGAGUUAACAUUUUGCUCCUGCUUUUCAACCUCAGCAGAAUAGAUUUUAACAGGGCAUGAAAACAAUAAUCCUUGUCAACUUCCUUCCUUUAACCUUUAAGGGGAGUUUUGUCUUCCCAUGAACUCUGCUUCUGCUUUGUAAUUUGAACUUGAUAUUAGAAACCUGGCAUUUUAAAGCUGAUACACAUUUCUGAUCAAAGAUGCUGAUGCUUGAAAGGACCUGUGUCACCAAGCCCUCUCCCUGGCUCAGCUGGUGUUAUUUCCUGAGGUUUAAACAGAUUGUUCCUCUUUUGGUUUUCUCAUCGAUCUGUCUCAUUCUGUAUUUCAGUAUCUUCCUCAGUCCAGGGUAUAUAUAUUAUCUCUCUCUUACUCCAACAGAAGAAAAUCCUCUGAGUCCAUGAGCUCUGCACUGAUCUUGGACCAAGAUAUUCUGCUCUCAUUUUCCGCUCUGCCCUCACAGCUUAGUGUAAAGCAGUUAGGAUGAGAGAUGACAAUCUCUCUCAGGAGAGUGCUUAUGUUGUUCAGCUACAUGUGAUUUUGUGGUACUUAACACAUUCUUACAGCAUGUGACCCCUUCCUUGGGUAGUAUUGCAUGAUGAAGGCGCUUGGGGGCUUUUGGAAAUCUUUUCUAUUUGCAUUUCUAGGUACCUAAGAACUUCAGAAAACCUCACCUUUGCUUACAUAUGUCACAUGUUCAGAUACUGUGCUUUUAAUUGAUUGUAGAAAUUUCCAGUCCCUAAUUUGUUGUUCGAUUUGACUCAGAUUUUACACUUAUCCAUUGACUACUGUAGUGUUGUAUCACACUCAUGGAAGUGAAACUUGGAUUAGCUUUUAAAAUGGUAGGUUCUCCUUCGUAACUAGACUGAAUGGUCUAAACUCUUCUUUCAGCUAUUUCCUUCUAAAUGUGAGUUCACUCUGCAAAUCCAAAUGGAGUUUGUCUGGAUUUGGGUUGGAGCAGUUCAGAACAGACUGUACAGAGCCCUGCUAUUUGAAUCUGGACACCUACUGAUAUCAUCAGCCCAAUUCCCCUUUCCCUCCAUAGAGCCAAGUCCAUGAAAUGUUUCAGGAAACAGCAGGGAUCAAUAGAUGGUCCUCAGUGAUUAUAAAUGAUAGCACAUCACAGAUUUCAAGACAGCUUCACUUAAAUACACACCAAGCUGGAUGUCAGCUGUUAUUAAUGUCUUUAAAAGGAGCUGAAGACAUUAUUUAUUUACUUACAAACUCUGCAACUACUUUCUUUGGUGCCAAAAGGCUCACACUGACAUUGCAAGCCAUGGUCUUUUAAGACACUCCUGUGCCAGUUUUAUAUGAUGUGGAAGAUGGUAGGACUGGACUAGCAAUAUUUUUUUGACCGCUAGUCCACAACAGACAGGAAUUAAGACCACAUUUCCAACUGAUGGUACUUCCCAAAUUCUCCCUUCCCCCAGUCAUCAUCCUUUCUAGAGAGGGCAGAACAGCCAGUGGGAGGAGAUGGUGGUUUAAUUGCUAAGUGAUCCUUCCAAAGGGAUAAUGCUUCUGCUCCUCAGCAAAUCCAGGAGCCAGUGGAGAGGAACCAAACAUGGAAUCAGCUCUCUUCUGUCUCCUGCUGAGACACUGCUCGUGAAAGCCCAGUCUGAAGCUCGAACUCUUCAGUGCAAACACCAUUUGUCUUUGAAAGACAAAUUGAGUGGUAGCUUUCCUAAAGAAGUGAUAAUAUUUUAAUGGCAGAAAGACAGAAGAAUAAUCCAAUUAGGAGAAAGGGGAGGUUUGACUGAGCAGAAAUAGCUGGAGAAGUGCACUGAGGUGCUGAAGGAGUGAAUCCUGGCAGGGUGGCAGAGCAACUGUGAUGUGACUCUCAGAGGGCAGAAAAACACACAGUGACACAGUUCUCACCCGCCUGUUCUUUACUAGAAGUUUAUUAUAUUAAACAGGGCCCCCUUUCUCAGAUCAGACUGCGUUUGGAUUCUUGGAAAUUUGACAAAAAUAUCUCCUGAGAACUGGCCUGUUUCCUCUGUUUUCCAGCUGACCUUUUAAUGAGGUCUCAUUUUGCUUCCAUAAGCUAGAACAGAGUGUGGGAGACCAGCACAAGAUGUGCAUUGUCUUUCUAGGAUUUCACAACUGGUUUAUUCUCCUGUACAUUUCCACUAUCUAGGGACCAAAUCCUAAAACAGUUUUCUUUUCUCUACAGUGAGAGAUGCUGUUCUUUGAGGAACCAACAGAAUGCAUACACUGACCCUUGAAACCACCACUAUUCUCAGAGGUCUUAAAAUAGCCACUAUUUCACUGUAUCUUCUUUCAUUACUUAAAGCAAAUCUUCCAUUUGGAAGAGUUUGGGUUGUUUGGUUGUUUUUUUCUCAAACAAAUAAAGGGGGUGUGAACAUUGACUGUGUUCCUGAAACAAGGAUCAAAAAAAUCCUUUGAUCUGUCUCCUAACAAAGUAAUCCCACAUACAAGACCUAAUCCCAAUGUUAUUCUAAGGAUGUAUCAGCCUUAGAAUUUCCAGCUUUGGAUGUGUGUUGUCCAGUAAAAUGAAUGCAACAUGGCUUCCCAGCAUGGUUGUGUUUACUGAAGAUCCCUGUGACCACACUAUCAAAUCACCAUCCAGUCUAAUACAGGACAAGAGGAAACAGCCUCAAGUUGUGCUGGAGGGGGGAUGUAGAUUGGAUAUUAGGAAAGAAAUCUUCACCAAAGGGUUGUUCAGCCCUGGCACAGCUGCCCAGGGCAGUGUUGGAGUCCCCAUCCCUGGAGGGAUUUAAAAGCCCUGUGGAUGUGGCACCUGGGGACAUGGGUUAGUGGUGGCCUCGGAACUGCAGAAUUAACAGUGGGGCUCAGUAAUAUUAGGAGUCUUUUCCAACCCAAACAAUUCUGUGAUUCCGUGAUCCAACAGAGGAUCACAACACACUGCUUUGCUGCAGGUGCAGAUUCAGUCCUUAUGCUGCUGAGUGUUCAAUCAGAAAGCUCUGAGCCCACUUGUAUAUAUUUUCCAACAGUUCCUUGCAGCUUAGAUCAAAAAGACAAGGAAUAGAAAAUAACUGCUUGAUAGGAGACAGAGAUUCAUGCACCUGCUCCUCAUGAUAAGUGGCAGAGAGUGAAGUGUUCGUACUCCUGCUAAUCAGGAUAAAGCAGAGCUGGGCACUUGUAAGGUUUUGAAAAAUGGAAGUGAUAAUAUUGCGUAGAUGUGCUCACACACACAUAAUCCUUGUUAUAGGACCAUUUCUUAAUGGUGUUUUGGUCUGUAGAUCUCAGCAACAGCUUUAACUGAUCAACUGAUCUGCAGAAGAAAAUAAAUAGCUUGGUACAACAGGAUGAUGGCCUGGGCUAUUCCGGGCUGAGACAGCAAACAACUUGUGAUUGCUUUCCAUAACUCAUCCCAGUCUUUAGCGUUGCAAAAAGAUGUGGAUUCAGCCUGUCAGGUCAAAGGAGAUGGGACAUGAUAACAAUGUGCACUUGCCUGGCAUGUUCCUGGAUUUGAAAGAAACCUUUACUAUGUAGAGGUCACAUAGCAAACCAGAAAAUGUUUAGUGGAUGUCUUCAGACAGAACCUCAAGGACAGUUGGAAGUCACAAGGCAGCUGCUGAAGGCAGGAUUUGUUGGGCUGCUCAGGGCAGAGCCUGGGCUGCCUGAGGCUUUCUGAAGGCAGCUGGCACAUCUCAUUAGCUGGAAGAGAAAACAGAACCUAAACAAACCAAGAGCUCAACUCUGGACAAAUACAACUUCAGGGUGACUUUGCAAACUGGAUUUUAGUGUUGUCUCAUGUCAACAGCUAAUUAUUGCUCUGCAUAAAGUCCCUGAGAUGGUAAAAUAUGAGGGACUGACACUAUUCAUCUUCUGGUUGCUCCAGAUAAGGAUCACAGGCUUAACAGAGUUGGUACUGAGUUACUAUUUUUAGAGAUGCAAAAGUUUACCCACUAAAGAUAUUUCUUGAGCAUCUAGUUUAUUACUUUUGUGAUGCACUUAAAAUAGCAAGUUUAUGAUCUCUGCUUUUCUGUGGAAGAAAGAAUUAAAUCUCAUUUAUAAGGACUUCCUUUCUACUUCCAUGAGCCUCUUACAUAUUAUUUGCUGCAGGAGUGAGAGACUCAUUUGAUUUUGUAAUGUAUCUUCCUGUAGACUUGAAUUUUACUCUGAUUUUCUUCAUUCUGAUGAAUAAAAUUGUCAAUUUUUACAUAUACGAAAACUACCUCUUCAGUCUCUUCUUCCUUUCUUCACUUGAAGCUCAUUGAUUUUCUCUAGGCAGCACCUCUGGGAGCUGCAGAGAGAUCAAUAUUUGAAGAAAUGGGGAGGCAGCUGUAACAUCACUAAAUCUAUUCAAAAGAAAUAAUUCAGUAUUAACUCAGACGAUUUUCUCUUGUGGUUGAAUCAAAUGGACAUUUAAUAGAGCUAUUAAUGUUUUCAAAUGUAGGUUAAAAAUAAGAGGUAAACACACGAAAGGGCACCAUGUUAGCAAGACACACUGCAGCCAAAAUAAAUUACAGCAAUGGCCACUGGGCCAGGCCUGUGGCUGUGUGAAAGGAAAACUCUGUUCAGUGCUCAAAAGUUCCAGUUUGGUUAGUUCCUUUUGAAUUAAGAGCAUGGGGAGGCUGCUGCUACAGCCUCCAUUUGGGAAAUUUUGUGUGUUUACAGGGCAGACAUUCUCCAGAAUUCAGCUGUGAGAAAAGAAAUACAGUGCUUUAUUACAGCUGGGAUCAGGAACUGAAUGAAUGGGAAGCAACAACUCCUGAUCUCUGUUGGAUAUUCUUAUUUUCUGUACAGUUUGAUUACAAAGUCACAGGAGCAUGAAGAGAAUGACACUGAACUGAUGACUUAUGUGCAUGGACUGACUUCAGUGAGUGCAAGGAAAAGGACUGGAUGAAGCAAAGAAUGAUAGAUCCUGAGAUGUGACCCCAUCCCCUGGAGAUCUCUCUGCGUCUUCUUUGAUAUCUCUCAAAAUUAGUAACAACUUAUUAGAACAUAUUUAUCUACAGAUUUCUAUUCAUUACUGGAAGAAGCAAAGAGAUGUAUUCAUUUAAUCAUCAUCACAAGGCCUUUUGUGCUUCCACCCACAUCCCAUCCUGGUUGUGAAUUGUCUAACAAUUUAUUGCCUAAAUGAUACAAACAUUUGCAUUGGUGGCUGUGAGUUCAUGGCCUUCAGCCACUCUUACCCUGUGAAUGCACAAUUUCAUUUCAAAAAUGAUAUCUUCUGUGAAUUUGACAUAAAAAUAGCAGGCGAAGCUGCCUGGCACACUGUGACUCAACCACAGGGAGCAGGAAAACUUGUUUCAGUAGUAAAUUACAGCAGCAAAAGAAACUGCUCUGUUUUCCAGGUUUGACAAUCGAGGCACUGAGCCAGUAAAUAUGACUUGGCCAGGACACAGGUUAGAGUUUUCCGUGCCCCCCAACACUCAGCACAGGACAUUGAUUUUUGAUUAACAGCAGUAGAGACAUAAGGAGAUGUUUUCUGUGAGAGGACAGCGAAGAAACAGGAUUUCAAAAUAAAAAAAGAGUCAAAGAUUUAUGGAGGAGAUGGUUUCCAUUUGGGAGGGAAAAAUUCACUGUACUUGUUUUUUUUGUAACACACACAAGUACUGGUGAAGGGAUCACUGAGUUUGUCUAAUGCCUCUUCUGCCAGGGAAUGGUAUCACUGUUACAAAUAUCUUUUUAAAUUUAUACAUGGUGAGCUAUAAUGAUAAAGACUUUCCAAAGCCAACUAGAGUUAAAGUUAAGGAUUUGGCUUCUAGAAUCUCUUUUCUGGCACUCAGACUUCUGCUGGCAUCAUCCAGUCCUCCCUUCUCUCAGCAAAUAUUGAACAUGUUGGCUUUAAAUCUGAUAAUUUUUUAAAAUAUAUGUGUAUAUUUAAGUUACUUAAAUAUUUUUCAAAGGUUAUCUUACCUUUUAUGUAAUUAGUGACAUUUUAUUCCACUAUAACAUUGAUCCAAGAUCACAAAUUUAUGAUGGGAAGGGGUCACGAAGAGAUUUAACCCAGCAGAAUGCAAAAAAAUCCCAACAUCAAAUAGCCAAAAUACAAUAAUAUCAAUUCUUUUAAACAGGGAAUUUGAUAUCCAACCUGAAGAAGUCAGCCUUGGCAUUUUGUUGUUCAGCUUAAAUUGAUCUGAGACCCAACAGAAAUGCCAGCUGUGGGUUUUUAAUAUAAAAGGCUUUGUCAAAGGAUAUUUUUUGCUACUUUUUCUUCCAAUGAAUUAAGAGAUUCCCUCUGGAUGUCUCUUCUUCAAAGGAAGCAUAUUCUAGUUUACUUGUAUAACUCUUGCCUUAAAACAUGAGAUUUUCUCCUCACCAUUUUCCACCUGUUUGCUAUGGUUACUUCAACAAAACUCCAUCUCCCAGAAUUUUGCUGGGUCAAAACUCUUCCCUACAGACAUUCUGCUCACAGUCAGUACAGAAAAAUUAUCUGUUCCCAGUCCAUAGCCCAUCAGAAGACGGGAAUGCAUAAAUUAUUGGCACCACCUAUUGGCCACAAAGGCAAAUUAUACAGGACUGGGACGUUAAUUUAAAUAUUUUGAGUAAAUAUGGCUUCAAAAGUUCCUCCUGUUAUGUUUUAUUUUAAUGAUACAACCCAGCAAAGACACUCAAGCUUUGAAUUUCCUUGUGUCAGAGACAGUUUGUUGGUCUGAUUGGGGAUACUUCUCCCCAGGGGUCACAUAAUGGAGGAGGAGGCUCCAGGUGAGCAGGUAUCACUAACCCGAGUUUCAGGUUCUUCUGGGUACUUUUCCCUUAAGAUGCAAAGUUCUGAAAGUUUAUUUUUUUCCACUCCAUCACCACAAGCACCAGCUACAGCUGGUCAACGAGUCACGAAUCAGAGUGGCCUUGGUGACUUUUGGCUCUUGUGAACCAGGAAAGAAGCUGGAUGACACAGAACUUGCUUAGGCAGAUGCAAAAUUAUGAGAAUUUCACGAGCAAAAACCCAAAAUGUCCUGUCAUCUACGCAAAAGAUGAUGACUGAAAGGAACUGCAAAGAUCAAAACCAUAAUUUGGAGGCAGAAGCAUCUGCAUGUUUAUGUUCCUGUGUUCAUCCUGAUUCUCCUGUCUGUGACAAGGUUCACAUACAUCACAUAUCUCUAGAGGAUGUUUUUUGACUGUGAAAAAAAGCUGAGCUGAGACCUUUGUGGUGACCCUCAAAGAGCAGAAAGAAGUGGAAGGGAUCUGAAAACAUUUCAGGUGUUUUGAAUCGUUUUCUAUCAAGAAGUUCUAACUUGAAUUAUCACUAUUAGGCUAGAAGUGAUGAAAAACCUCUGUGCCAUAAGACCUGUUGGUUCUUUGUGGCCUCUGGUGAACAGACUUGUUUCAAUGAUUUGCAUUUUCACUGAAUAAAAGAGAGGGGGAAAGAGAGAAUGGCGUUUUGCUUCAGGCUACUUUCUCUCAACUCCCAAAGAGUUGUUUUGUGUUGAUGUUAGCCCCAAGUUAUCUACUGAGAGGCAUUUUUAGCUCUUGGUGUGCUAAACUAUGCAUUCAGAGCAUGGGACUUUGGCUCAGCACGGACUAAUUGAAAUGUGGAAGGAGUCUGCUGAAUACUUUAGCACUAUUGCAACUUAUCCUCUGAAGUUUCCCUAAAGUUUUUUUUCCUUUUUCUCUUCCUGAACUUGGAAAAACACUUUUCCUUCUCUCUAAAAUCUUCCACCUGGAAUAUAUCUACCUCAUCAUCCUGGUCCUCCAGGUGUUGCAGAUGAGCUGAUCAUCUCAUAUCAGCAUCAACAACAGUGGUCCUUUGCUGUUAUUACCCUGCCCAGCAGGAUUGGCUCCUGUGCUCCAGUUCUUGGAAACAGCAGGGAUAAGUGAGGACACUUGGCAGACACAGAAAGGCUCAGCCUUCCUGAAAUUUAUGAAGCACUGCUUGUGUGUACCAGGUGUACCUGGACUCUGCCAUGACCUAAACUUUGCCAUGCCAUUUAUUCACACUCUGUGGGAUAGGACUGGCUAUACAUAGCAAAUAAAUAAGCUCAUAUACCUUCAUUUAUUUUUAAAGAGAAUACUGUUCUACACGUGUUCAAUUUUAGCAUAACAGGCACAUACAUGAGGCAGUGAUAAUGACAGAAAAGAAUUCAUUUGCCAGUUGGUUGUACUUGCCUGUCAGAAAGAACAUUAAUAAAGAUGUCCCAUCAUGUCUGAUCUUCUGCCUUGAAUAAGUCAGAGGGCAGCUUCAACCUUAGGAAAAUCAAUUUUCUCUUGAAAAUACACCUCUCUUUAUGGGCUUCUGCUGCAAUACACUACAUUAUUUAUUUAUAGUGUGUCUAUUUUUGUUAGACAAGUUGAGGAUAAAUAAUAAAAGCUUGAAGACUGAAUUUAGAAAGUGCCAAGUUUUAUUAUUACUAUUUAGGUUUAUAAGCAAGCCAGUGAACUACAGAUCACCACCACUGUGUGAAUACUCUUUAAGUGAACUGAGAAGAAGGAAGCAGGAAUUUAGCAUUUCCUCACUCCAACAAAUAGGAUAAUGAGCCCUUUUCCUGACGGCUCUCAUGCUUGGGGAGAUGAAGGGUAUCUUGCCCAGUUUGUACCCAUGACAUGCAGCACAAUGCCAAGUGUGUACUGACCAGGGAAUGGUCACAUCUUCUGACUAAAGGUCUGGGAAAAAAAAAAAAAGAUAUGAUGUAAUAGAGGUAAAGUGUUGAUGAAAUUUAUUUCUCCAACUCAAGUCUGGUCUGCAAUGUGAUGUGGACAUUUCAGGGUGGGUGUUGUAUGGAUGAUGGUCCAUCCAUAGUCUGACAUUCUCCAUGGGGAAAGAACAGACCUGCCAUGCAGAAAGCAGCAGUUUUGGGGGGGGGUGUCUUACCUAGUCAGGACCAGCGGGCCUGCCUUAAUUGAUAUUGUCACGGAAUCAUUGAAGGGACCGUAAAGACCAUCUCGUUCCAACCCCCUGCCAUGGGCAGGGACACCUUCCACUCGACCUGGUUGCUCAGAGCCCCAUACUGCCUGUGGGCAGCCAGUUCUGAGUGUUUCUGGUCAGAUGGUGGCAGAUGAGUCUUAGGGAUGGCCUUUCCCAGGAGCCUGCAGCUGUUUAAAUAGUCGCCCCGCGGGAGCCACAGCACCACAGCAGCGUUUGACAUCGUUCUACCUCAGCAGGGAGAGGCAGAGCCAUGGGGACAAGGAGUCCUUCCCACUUCCUGGCUUCCAUAGAUUACUUUAAUUGGUAAAACUAUGCUCCUGUCACUGGGGAGGGCAUGUCGUAAAGCAAAACAUGAACAAAAUCCUAAGCCUAAGAAUUCAUUUGCCCUGAGGCUCAACAAAACUGUUCUGGGUAAAGCUGUGUCUACAAGUCAGAGCACCAGCAGAGAGAGGAAUCCCUUGGAGAGGGGACAGGCUUGUCACACCUCUCAAAGGGGGACAUAGUAAACAAUCCCUAUGGCUUCCUGCCAGUCCUUUUGAUUGUUUGUUUGUUUGUUUUCCCAGUCAUUUUUGGCUUUUCCAUCUGAACAAGGAUGCACAUCCUCAGUGUGGAGUCAUCAUCUUUCUAGGGAGAGGGAAAAAUAGCUCUGCACACAGAUAUGUGAAAGUCAGGGGCAUUAUACAAAUAAGAUGCCGUUUUCCUGCUUUCACGUUGAAUUCAGCAUAAAUUUGCUAUUGAAAGUGGUUAGCAGCUCACACUCCUUCAACACAUCUUUUUUUUUCUAAAGUUAAUUGAUAAAAUUUUUACAGGAACAAAUAAUUCUGGUUUGUGACUAAACUUCAACAAGUGCUAUUAAACAGGCUCCUUUAAUCCAAAGCUGUUUAUGCAAGCCUGUUUCAUUUGUGCUAGGGAUGGACAUGAUCCACUUUACAGUUUUAAGAACAGAGAACUAGGAUUUGAAGAUAAACUACAAUCUCCAUAUAAGUAAGUUAACAAUCCCCUAGACACUGUGUUUCAUACAGCCAGUAUUAUUCCCUUAAUAGAUAUAAGAUAAAAAUCACCUUCAUGUGCUCAGAAGACAAAGUAAUCCUAAAUACAAUCCUGAUAUUGCCUACAGUUGUUUUGGAAAUAAAAUUUAAGCUUACUCUCUAGCCUCUCUGCUCUACGCUAUUCUAUAUAAAAUCAGUAAAGAAAUUCAGAUUUUUGCCUUUGAAUUUGCUGCUGACAAUAACUGCUGUUCUUCUGAGCCUACUGCCUGACUCCAGCUGAUUUUCCUAUAGAAAGGGCCUUUGGUAGAGUGUGCCCAGUCUCACUUCUUGACUUUCAACACAUCCUGGGCAGGUCCUUGCUCUUCAAGCAUCACACUACAUCGGGUGAGAAGGUUUCUUACACCCCAGUUUUCCUCCAGGAUGCCCCAGACAUUCCCCUUUCCACGCUCAGAGGAAAAUAAUUUAUUUGUCCAGUUUCUCCGCGUGGCUCUGAGACCCUUUCCCAAUCUCCCAAAGGUCUCUGCACAGGACAGUAAGACCCUAUAGUAGAGCUGCCCUCCAUAUAUACACUGCUGAUCUUCUGUGGAAGUUUCCAAGGACCUCAGACAAGACUUUGUAACCUAAAAUCAGAAAAAAACCAGUAAUAAUAUGUUUUAAAGAUUGGCUUAUGCGUGCUAUUCACAGAAUUUUAGCAGGAAAGCACAUGUGUGAUCAAAUAUGGCAAAAAUUUUACACCUGUGAAACUUGUAACAAAACUUCCCAGAAGUUGGUUUGGUCUGGUUUGGUUUGGUUUUUCCCAACAAGCAAAGUUGCAGAGAUAAAUCAAUGUCCAUAAAUUUGAUUCCACAAUUUUACUUUUUUUUUUUUAAGUUUAGCUUUGGUUAAUAGCUUUAGGUAUCUUCAAGAUCAGCUCAUUGAAAGCAUAAUUUGAUCAACAGUUGUUUUCUUAAAUCUUGCUCUGCUAAACUUGUUUAAUGGAUGUUUAAAUUUCUCUCAUUCAUGUGGUAGAUGAAGGAGAAUCAGAAUGUUCUUUUCCAUAAGGGAAAAAUGGUGUAUCCUACAGCCUUUAGACUGCAGAUCCAUGUCACAAAGCCAUGGGAGAUGUCACCCCAACAUCUCUAUGUCUCCCACUCUAUAACAGUUCUCUGUACAAGUUCCCAUGACUGGAAACCCUAGUUUCAUUCCAUGAGGGUUUACUUUGGAAAGAAACUUGUUCCUGCAGCUUGUGUCCACGUGAUCUCUCCCAGCUUCUAAGUGCAACUUGGUUUUAUUCCAGCAAAUGUUGCUAGAUGUAAAAUCCAACAGCAAGAGAUUUCCUGCAGUCGGAUGGAGUCAGAAUUGGUGCCUGAGCUCCAAGCUGGCUCCAGCUUUUGCCUCUCCAACAUGGACUGGCCAAUAUCUUAGCUCCAGGCUUUCCAACCCAUUUGUGGAGCAUAGGAAGGACACCACGUAAUCAGACAUAAUCAGCCCUUUAAAAGCUCCUUGAUAAAAAGGUAUAAAUAGCCCCUGGAACAGGAACUGGAAACCAGCUUUCGCAUUUCAGGUGAUGGCCCAAUUGCUUCGGCUCCCAGAUGGCCUUCCUGCAACCUCCCUGUGAUACAGAGAUUUAAUCCCAGAUCUGCUGCAUAAAGGCUCAGUUUUACCAUGAGAGACAAAGAAUGCUCUCCCCUGCCUCCCCAACACGUAGGCUGCCUGCUGACAAAGCCAUUAGUGGGGACUCAUAUGAGAGUUUGAACCUCCACAGAGAGGGUCCGGAAGGCUUUCAGCUUCCCAGGAUAUGCUUGAAAGGGGGCAGCAAUUAUCUCCUCUUUCUGCAGCACCCAAAGAGAGCAGAUAGAGCUUGUUUCAUCCUUUUAAAGGCAAAAAUGUACUUAUUAGUGCUAGAAGAGGUGGCCUAAAUAGUAAGGAUCCCCUUGUGUAAGAACCACACGUCAAACCUAUGGAAAGGGAGGAGUUUAAGACCCACAGAAUCAUAGAAUGGCUUUUGUUGGAAGGGACCUUAAAGAUCAUCUUGUAUCAACCCUCCUGCCAUGGGAAGGGACACCUUCCACUAUCCCAGGUUGCUCCAAGCCCCAUACAUCCUGGCCUUGGACACUUCCAGGGUUGGGGUACCCAGAUGUCCACCACCCUCGGUCUAUCAGAGGUUGAACAUCCCUUUUGAAACCAUCUCUUUUUCCUAAGGCUGAAGGGACCAGGAGAGGAGUCAGGAAACACCAAGUGAGUUGUUGUGACUGUUUCUUACUUCAUCUAUUGAUCUCCUUUAAUAGUAGAUCUUCUCUCAAAGACUGUCAUCUAACCUAAGAUUUGUAUACAAAGAUGCUCUUACAGGGUCCAGCUGGUUGUAUCCUAAGUAGGUGAAGUACUCUUGCUGCCUAGAGUUUUCCUUCUCUCUUCAUCCUCAUUUGGCCUCUCAAAGAAUGUAGCAGAUCCAGUGUCUUGCCAUCAAGGUGUUCCCAGUGUGAACCCACCAAGGCCUUUUACUUAGGCGAGAUAAAUCCUACUGAGAGCACCUGACAUUUUCUGGAUUUAACUUCUGGGGUGAGGCUUUUGUAAAAAUGGAAGAAAUGACUGAGAUCACCCAAUUUUUAUCUGUUUCCUCUAUUUAGAUGGCAAUUUUCCCAUGGUAGGCUCGCCUUUUAGUAAGUGGGUGUCUAACUUGCUGGCACAACAGCAUCUGAACGUUAGAAAUGUGACAGGCUGGAGGUGUGCAUUUGUCACUUAGAACCUGCUUUGCUUUUAAAAAAGACAUUUUGCUUUUAGCUUUCCUGUAGCCAUCAGUUUGCCUCAAAGUGAUACAUCCACAGUGUCUUGCAGUAGGCAUUUUAAUGACACAAAUGAUACAUUCUCCAAUGAACAAUGAUUAUGGCUGUUCCCAAGUCUCCUCCUUGUCCAUUAUCUUUUGAAUUGGGUUUUUUUUUAUUAUUAAAGUUCCCAUACCGGCUGAAAACCACAGAGUUCCUGUGGGUGAAUUUUAAAUGAGCGUAUCAGAUGGAAAAUAUCGAUUUUCAGUCAAUUUCUUGGAAAUAAAAAAAACAAACCAACAACACGGCACAUAUUUUACAACGAAAAAGUUCACACAGGACACAGGAAAUAGAGAGAAAUGUUUCCUUCCCACUUCAGUGCAGGAGCUACACAGCGUGUUCCAACUCAGAGAACAUGCAAACAAUGUUCAGUCUUCAGACAAGGUCAGCAAAGCAGAUGUGACUUCAAGUUUACCGCUUACGAGGCGUGAGAACAAUCCCUGGAUAAUGGGAAGACCUUAUGGAGAAGCUGUGGAGCAUCCUGGCUUAAAGGCACCAAAUGAUUCACUGAGUGCCAUUUCCACAUUGCUCAAUGCCCCUGGGGCUGCUGGAGCACCAAUGAUUAGAAAAAGAAAUGACUUUGAGUUAAGUGUCUUUAAAGAUCGUAGGGGGAGGGGAGAAGAAAACAUCAGGAAUCCAGGGUUUCCCUUGCAGUUCCCUAUCAGGAUGCCCUGCUCUCCGUGGAGAAGUUGCAUUACUGAAGAGGUGUGAAGUCAUCUUAGGGUGAGAUACAACCAGUCACCUCCUGGAUUUUCAGCCACUCUUGGCUUUUCCAUUGGCAGCUGUGAGUUAAGACCUCCAGCAUAAAAAUCAACUUAGCGCAUUGCCUUUGUGUUUAAGUGAUUUCAGGUUCAACAUUUAGCUCACUGGAGUCUCAAUCCUUGACAGAGGCUUCUGUAUUUCAAAGAGGACAAGGAGGUGAAAACAUGAAUUAAUGUUUGCACUAAAAGCAGGGCAUUUUCCUUGGGAAGUUCUCACAGACAUAUCAAAAAGGGAGACCUGUCCAAAUAAAUAUGCAGUUCACCGACAGAUAAAGAUUAUCCAUUUGUCAUAAUAAAAACAUUAAGGAGGCAGAAUUCCCUUUCCAAGUUUUUGGAGGGGGAAGAGCAAUAACAUUGUCAAGUGAUGUAUGUGACAGAGUAAGUUAACCUUUGUAAAAUCUGACCAAGGUCAGGUGACUAAGGUUGGAAAAUAAAUUUUCAUCCCACUUUAUUAUGUGGGUGCCAGGAUCUGAUAGCUCUGAAUCCCCUACUGCACAGACUAACUCAAACUCCAGUUUUCUCCUGAUCUGCUAUUCCAUUAAGUAGUGAUGAAUUGGAAGCUGAAGCUAGCAAAACUCUAAUGUGAUGGGGUUUUUUCUGUGAACAUACUUAUCCACUAGCACAAACACCCACCACUUAUUUUCUCCUUCAUGCAGAAGUCUCUGAACUGGUGGUCUAUUUUUCCUAGGAAAAAAAAAAUAAAAUAGGCAAAAUUGAAGAAUCACUGGCUAACGCUUGAGGUCUGAUUUUGAUCAACAAUCAGUUUAACAGCGUUUAUUCUGCAGCUGAGAAAAACAAUGCAUCAAAAUUCAUUUACAUGCCUUAGUGGAAUGCAUGUGUGUGUAAAUUAGUACAGAAAAUUAACUAGCAAUGACCCUUUAUAGAAUCAUACAAUCAUAGAAUAGUUUGGGUUGGAAGAGACCUUUAAAGGUCAUACUUUGAAAAUAAUUUUACCUUAGUCAUGGUUCUGGAGCAAAAGUAUCCACCUUAUAAGGAAAUAACCACAGGUAAAAUCAUGACAAAUCACCUUUCUAAAGUUCACUUGUCUUUGUCACCUGGUGUUCUGCUGUCCUGAUAUUUCAGGAUAUUCCCAAGGUGGGACACUGAAACAAGCUGGUAAGGUGAGGUGGAAAACUCGCCAGCUUGUGCAUUGCAGUCAGCUAUUCUGUGGAAAAAUAGUCAAUUUAACUGUUACAGAACUGAAGAGCUUCCAAUAAAUUUUCUUUCUUUACUCACAGCAGUUUUAACAGAGGGACUGGCACUCAGUUGUCUUGAUCCAGAAUUUGGGCCCAUGGUAGCAGUGACUGAGAACUUCCUGAGAAUCUUUAAAAGAGAGAUCACAAGAGUAAACUUGGAAAACACAGUGCUGAAAAGAUCUUGUCUUGAACUCGCUCAGGACUCCAUUUUCACUGUGGACUCCCAGAUUGCUCUCUGCCAUAAGCACAACCAGGAUUAUACCAACAGCUUUCUUUAGUGACCUUAAGUGAGUUGGUGCUGAAGGUAUCAGUGAAAAAUGAGUUCCCAGAAAGCAGAUGUGUUCCUCCCAGCUCUUACAGAGAUACAAAAACUGAACAGAGUAUGGUGACAAGAGAAAGGAAAGAUGGAAAGGCAGAGGGGAAGGCAAAGGUGAAAGCUCAAGAGAAGACAUCCUCGCUUCUCUCUGCAUCUUUUCUUUCCUGAACCUUCACUUUCCCCCCACCCCUUUCAACACUUGAUUAUUCACAAGUCCCACUUGCCCUUUUAUCAUCCUUUGGUACCAUUAUCCUUGAAGAGAUGAGGAACAUUUAUAUCUGCAGGUCCAUUAAUUUAUGGUCAAAAAUGCUUCUGUACAGAGUUUCUCUAUUUGCACAUUAAUAGAUAUGUAUGCACA